UACGUAGGGGGCUAGCGUUGUCCGGAAUCAUUGGGCGUAAAGAGCUCGUAGGCGGUGUGUCGCGUCGGCCGUGAAAACCUGCAGCUUAACUGUGGGCUUGCGGUCGAUACGGGCAUCACUGGAGUUCGGCAGGGGAGACUGGAAUUCCUGGUGUAGCGGUGAAAUGCGCAGAUAUCAGGAGGAACACCGGUGGCGAAGGCGGCGAUCUGGGUCGAUACUGACGCUGAGGUGCGAAAGCGUGGGGGAGCAAACAGG
rnacentral:rRNA from 1 species